GGGGGUGUAGCUCAGAUGGUAGAGCGCGCGCUUAGCAUGCGCGAGGUACGGGGAUCGAUACCCGGCACCUCCA
rfam:Ciona savignyi cont_8688, whole genome shotgun sequence.